rnacentral:rRNA from 1 species
UACGUAGGGUGCGAGCGUUUAAUCGGAAUUACUGGGCGUAAAGCGUGCGCAGGCGGUUUUGUAAGUUUGUCGUGAAAGCCCCGGGCUCAACCUGGGAAUUGCGAUGGAGACUGCAAGGCUUGAAUCUGGCAGAGGGGGGUAGAAUUCCACGUGUAGCAGUGAAAUGCGUAGAGAUGUGGAGGAACACCGAUGGCGAAGGCAGCCCCUGGGUCAAGAUUGACGCUCAUGCACGAAAGCGUGGGGAGCAAACAGG